AUUGGACUCUAUGAACAGACAGGUGGAAUAGACACUUACAUAUGUAUGGACCUUAUGCAUGAAGGGCUGCCUUCAGAUGUCCUCUAAAGGUGGGUAUAGUUACUUAUCUCCUUGACAUCUGCUGGGAGGGCAUUCCACAGGGUGGGUGCCACUACCAAGAAGGCCCUCUGCCUGCUUCCCUGUAGCUUCACUUCUGGCAGUGAGGGAACCAUCAGAAGGCCCUCGGAGCUGGACCUCAGUGUCCGGGCUGGAGGAUGGGGGUGGAGAUGCUCCUUCAGGUAUACAGGGCUGAGUCAAUUUAGGGCUUUAAAGGUCAGCACCAACACUUUGAAUUAUGAUCGGAAACAUAAUGGGAGCCAAUGUAAGUCUUUCAGGACUGGUGUUAUAUGGUCCUGGUGGCUACUCCCAGUCACCAGUCUAGCAGCCACAUUCUGGAUUGGCUGUAAUUUCUGAGUCACCUUCAAAGGUAGCCUCUUCUGCACAUGGCAGGCAGCACAUUUGGUCCUAGAAACCAAAACCAGUAUACCCACAAUUCCUUGCAUUGCCGGGGAAUUGUGGGUUCCUCUGUGGCCCAAAAGGCAGAAGGGAAAUUGUAUGCAGAAUAAGGGGAAGGAAAAUGCCUCCUUUAACUUUACAUAACAUCUAUCAGCGGGAACUGCCCACGGUUUCAUACACAGCGGCACCAAACUGAAGGCAGGCUGCUCAUUUCCAGCUCUGAAAUAAGAGGCCUUUUCAUUCAGUCAGCUAAGUGUUUCCCCUCCUUCCGUGAGUGGGAAGGAAACCUGUCAAACUGCUACCAGCCUCUCAUCCUGGUUAAAUCGGGGAAUGUUCUUGCCUUUAUUAUUUCCCUCCAUUUUCCACUGGUGCACUGACAUUGUCGUGAUAUUAUCUUCCUCUUUUAUCUAUUCCAGAUUUUAUUAGGUGGCGGUGGUGGCGAGGGGGGACCUUAACUGAUCAGAAAGUCACAUAAAAUCCCUGCACUAUAUUUCCAUUACGUUAACCGCGAGGCAUUCCCGCUGGGACGCAGGCAGCAUUUCGCAGUCCCUCAGGAACAGUAAGAUUCCAUCUGUCGAGGCUCUGAGUGCUUCCAAGAUGGCGUCUGUUGAAAUUUCCAGUUCAACCCCUUGAGUGUAAAUUUAAAAAGGGAGGAGGAGGGGUGGACUCUGUGUUAUUCAGUCCAUGGGUCAUGAGGCUUGUUGCUGCAGUUUCUCCUCACUCCGUUUUUUAAAAAUUAAAAAAGGCCUGUCAUUAAUUAUCUGCCUUUGCUGGUCUCCAUAGGAACAUAGGAAGAUGCCUUCUGCUGAGACAGAUCAAUGGCCUUCUAGCUCAGGGCACUGAGCGGCAGCGGCUAUCCAGGGUUUCAGACAAAAGGACAUUCCCAGUCCUACUUGGAGAUGCCAGUGCUUGAAUCUAGAACCUUCUUCAGUCAAGGCUAAUGUUCUACCACUAAGCUACAGCCUUUGCCUUUCACGGUCUGCUAUCCCAGAGCUCUUGCCUCAGAUUCAUUUGGUAGGGCAGCCAUACGUCUGGGAUUUUCUGGACAUUGCUGGGAUUUCAAAAGCCAAAGUGACGUCCGGGGAAAUUUCCAGAAGGUGACAGUUUGUCCUGAAUCUUCAGCAAGUAAACCAAGAAAAUGUGUUCUUUUGGUGUUUUCCGGGGGGGGGGGGGGGAGAGGCUCACCUCAAUUUUGAGGUGUCCUGGUUUUUACUCUUUGAAAUAUGGGGAACCCUACAUUUGGGCCUCCUCAUCUUCACAGAAAUUGUUGCCCCUACGCAGUGAAGGC